rnacentral:rRNA from 1 species
AACGAACGCUGGCGGCGUGCCUAACACAUGCAAGUCGAGCGCGAAAGGAGCAAUCCGAGUAGAGCGGCGCGCGGGUGAGUAUCACGUGGGUAAUCUGCCUCGAAGUCUGGAUACUUCCGAAGGUCAGCUAAUGCCGGAUAAGCUCACGAGACCUUCGGUCUUGUGGAAAAGGUGGCCUCUGUUUACAAGCUAUCACUUCGAGAUGAGCCCGCGG